GGGAUGAAGGCCUUCGGGUUGUAAACUGCUUUUGUACGGAACGAAAAGGCUCUGGUUAAUACCUGGGGCCCAUGACGGUACCGUAAGAAUAAGCACCGGCUAACUACGUGCC
rnacentral:rRNA from 1 species